rnacentral:misc_RNA from 1 species
CAAAGUCAACAACAUCUGAUGUAAGAGGCUCCAACAAAGAGAUGGCCUCACUCAAACCAGUACCAGCACAGGAAAUCCCUACUGCUAGGGCUGCACCAUAACGGACAUGUGGAUUGUAGGACUCUGAGAGGAGGGAGACAAUUCUCGGUGUCUGCUCAGGCUCAUUAUACAGCACAAAACCAAGGGCUAGAACAGCUGUUCUUCGAACAUCAUCACUGACAUCCGAUACAGCAAAAUGGAGCAAUUGAUGGAUAGCCUUGUUGUUUGCUGUCCCCCGAUAUGCCAAUGCCAAAGCAUACAUACCACCAUAACGGAGUAUCGG